rnacentral:sRNA from 1 species
UUCCAAGACUCCAGACACAUCCAAAUGAGGCGCUGCACGUGGCAGUCUGCCUUUCUUC